rnacentral:ncRNA from 1 species
GAGAGCCGGAUGAGAGGAGACCUUCACGUCGGGUUCGGAGGGCGGGGAUAUCCCGACCAUAC